UGCAGAAAAACACCCCCUUUUUCCUUUUUUAGGAGUAAUUGACGACAAAUGCUUUUCCCUUCGGCUUAUUCCGUUAUUGAACGUUGCAACGGUUACAAAGUUCUCUAUAUUCUCGGUCACAUAAUUUUUUAAAAUUGAUAAUGUUUUCUCACUCUCGCUCUUAAAAGUUUGUGUGAUUUAGAUUUUGCCAUUUUUGUGCUCCACCUCUUGCACCGUGUCUCCCUCUCCCGCUCCUGCCUUGUGUGACUUAGCAUGACAAUGUUGUUUGGAGCAUGAAUUCAACGGCAGCAUUUGGGGAUGCGCAUCAUCAACCUUGCUUUUCCAUGAAUUCUUGAGAUGAGGAGAAAAAAAAAAGAUUCCUGGAGGCAGAGGCUUGGUCAUACUCACAGUGCAAGCUCACUCGCCUUCCCUAAAGCCACUGGCAUGCAAGUGGCAAGGCAGCAAUGUUGUUCAUAGGCCUCUAUCUAGUGGCGCUGGGCGUUGGAGGCAUUAAAUGAUCAAAUUUGAUAAGAACAUAGCACGGGGAAGGCAGCAAAGAUCGGCUUUCUCCAACUACUUUGUCCUCUGACUCUCAUGGGGUGGUCUAAUUGCAGUGACAAUAGUGGUGGAUUGAGGACAACAAAGCUUUGACAAUAUUUUUGUUGAUUGCAAUCGUCCUCACCUAUUCACCCUUUUACAGGAACAAGAUACCUUGUGGAAGUCUACUUGCAAUUAUAUAUACAUUCAUAAAUGUAGGUAUAGUAUGUAUGCAUACAAUAACCUGCCACAGUUCUUAAACAAUAGUCUCUAUCCAAUGUCUGUUCACUGUUUACAUUGUAUCACAUGGCAGUAACAUUGUGUUGCUUCAACUAUAAAAGCAAGGGCAAUUUGUCAUCUAUUGACU